GGAGCUUUAUUAAAGGGAGGUCCAGACCCACUGGUCCAGAGGUUGAAUGACAGACAUGAUCUAUUCUGAUCUAGUACUAGUCUCUCUCAGGCAACAAUAUGAUGUAACAAUGAGUAGAGUAUACACGGAGUAAAGAAUGGUCGCAAUUCAAAUAGCUUUCUGUCAGUCUGAACUUUCCCAGUGACUAGACACUAAAAGUGCAAACAGCAUCGCACAGGGAUGGAGCUGGGGACUGUUUGAGGCUUCGAAGGGGAGGAGUUCUAUUGGAAGCAGUUAAGAGCCUCUGGUUUGGCUCUCAGGGUGCUGCUCGGCUCCAUUUUAGCCGGAAGGCACAGCACUCUAGAGUUGCUGGCGCUCCUCCGUGGAAUGUUGUGGAAUGUUGUGGAAUGUUCUUGUUCACUCUGCACGCAGCAGGGACAGUAAUUGCCCUCACCAUUUGGCUGCUCUGCGAUCUCUAGAACAUUUUCACAUCCCUCAUCUCACUGGCAAACAUUUCCACCUUCCAGUGGGUACUGUAGGGAAAGGAAGUCACUUUUACUGUAUGGGUAAAGACAAGGCUAGGAGAGCUGACCUAAACUCAGGGUCUAGAGGCCAGAAGAACUAGGGCCUGGGCCCCACCCUGUGACUGUGGGCCCAGGGCUGCUUCCACUCCCCUUGCUUUGGUAAGGAGAGCUCUGAGACUGACUAUCUAGCUCUCGCAGAAGCACGUGAAUGAAGUCAUCAAGCACUUCUUCUGGAACGUUCCUCGUGAGAUCACAACGUCGCAGAGUAAGGAUUCUCCAGCAACCUUGUCACUUUGGAGAAGCCUGACAGUGUAGACUGUUGCUCUCCAAGAUGGCACCCUGUGACAGACCCAUCUUCUCCAAUUGUCUCUACCGCAGUGAUCUGUACUUCUGAUGGGCAUGGGCUCUCGUUCAUCCCCUUCUGCGUUUGCCAAGAGCUUCCUGAGGUGGCUUCUAAUAAAACAAGCUCAUCAAUAA